rnacentral:rRNA from 1 species
UACAGAGGUCCCAAGCGUUGUUCGGAUUCACUGGGCGUAAAGGGUGCGUAGGUGGCUUGGUAAGUUCGAUGUGAAAUCUCCGGGCUUAACCCGGAAAUGGCAUUGAAUACUAUUGAGCUGGAGGUUUGGAGGGGGGACUGGAAUUCUCGGUGUAGCAGUGAAAUGCGUAGAUAUCUGGAGGAACACCGGUGGCGAAGGCGGCAUCCUGGACCGACACUGACGUGAGGAGCGAAAGCCAGGGGAGCAAACGGG